UAGGGAAUCUUCGGCAAUGGGGGGAACCCUGACCGAGCAACGCCGCGUGUGUGAAGAAGGUUUUCGGAUCGUAAAGCUCUGUUGUUAAGGAAGAACGAGUGUGAGAAUGGAAAGUUCAUGCUGUGACGGUACUUAACCAGAAAGGGACGGUUAACUACGUGCCAGCAGCCGCGGUAAUACGUAGGUCCCGAGCGUUGUCCGGAUUUAUUGGGCGUAAAGCGAGCGCAGGCGGUCAAUUAAGUCUGAUGUGAAAGCCCCCGGUUCAACCGGGGAGGGUCAAUGGAAACUGGUUGACUUGAGUGCAGAAGAGGAGAGUGGAAUUCCAUGUGUAGCGGUGAAAUGCGUAGAUAUAGGGAGGAACACCAGUGGCGAAGGCGACUCUCUGGUCUGAAACUGACGCUGAGGCUAGAAAGCGUGGGUAGCAAACAGG
rnacentral:rRNA from 1 species